AACGAACGCUGGCGGCAUGCCUAACACAUGCAAGUCGAACGAGACCUUCGGGUCUAGUGGCGCACGGGUGCGUAACGCGUGGGAACCUGCCCUUAGGUUCGGAAUAACUCCCCGAAAGGGGUGCUAAUACCGGCUAAUGUCUUCGGACCAAAGAUUUAUCGCCUUUGGAUGGGCCGCGUUGGAUUAGCUAGUUGGUAGGGUAAAAGCCUACCAAGGCGAGGAUCCAUAGCUGGUCUGAGAGGAUGAUCAGCCACACUGGGACUGAGACACGGCCCAGACUCCUACGGGAGGCAGCAGUGGGGAAUAUUGGACAAUGGGCGAAAGGCUGAUCCAGCAAUGCCGCGUGAGUGAUGAAGGCCUUAGGGUUGUAAAGCAAUUUUACCCGGGAUGAUAAUGACAGUACCGGGAGAAUAAGCUCCGGCUAACUCCGUG
rnacentral:rRNA from 1 species